UCUUCCGUCUUCCUCCUCACCACGCCUCGCCACCGAUUAACGAUUAAAAUUAAACAACGCUGGAGGGAGCGGAGAGGGGAAAAAUCUGGCCUUGCCCUCCGAGAGAGCAGAUUCCGCAAGCUCCGACGCCGCAACAAGCUGCUUCGCUUCGUCUCCUUCUCGCCCCGCCUCCUCGCCGUCGCCACCAGGGCCAGGGUUUCCUGCUCGGCUCCGAGCAAGCCAGUUCCUCGUCUCCGGCGCCAUUCCCCUCCCCCUUGGGCUCCGCCGCCGGAUCCAACCCCUCAACCACCACAGGACAGGACAGCGCAGAUUCUAGAGGUGGUCCAUCAGUUGGCGCAAUGGGCGUCGAGGAGCAAGCCGUGCAGCAACCGGACGGUGGCGGCGGAAAGCCUGAUGCCGCCAGCGCCAAGCCACCGCCUCCGGAACAUGGUCAGCAAACACCACCGAGCAACCCCCGUGCGUCGACCUGCAGCACGGACAAGGACGACGACGGCCACGCCAUCUGCCGGGUGUGCCAAUGCACGGAGCCUGACCUGACAGGCGCAUCUGCUCUGGGUUUCCUAGGCAUCGUGCCGCCUUCCCCUCACCCAUCCUGCCUCAAGGACCCGGGCAACGACGCCACCAAGAAUCCCACCACCAAGGAUGCCUCCAACGCUCCAACAUUUCUCGAGUUCAUAGGCCCCGAGGGGGAGAUCUUCAAGUGCGCCACCGACAUCGAAUCAGGCCAUUUCCGCCCGCAGGACGCCAUCGUGAACCUCGGAUGCUCCUGCAAGAACGAGCUCGCGCUCGCGCACUACGCGUGCGCGCUCAAGUGGUUCAUCAGCCACGGGUCCACCGUGUGCGAGAUAUGCAGUGAUGCCGCCACCAACGUGCGGCCCCAGGAUUACAACAUGGUGCUCGCGUCACUCAAGGACUACCAAGCUCUCAGGGAAAGGACCUCCACCGGGGGUCUCUCCUACUUGCACUACAGGGCGGAGGCGUCCGUCGACCCGGUCGCCCUUGCCGCAGUACGGAGACAGCGGCUCUGCGAGAUAUCGUCAUGGUUCAACCCUCACAAUGCACAUUUCGUGUUUUCUCACAGUCAGAGGCACAGCAGCUACAACGAAGAGGUGCCAGUUAGCCCAAGUAAUAACUCUGCAGACUAUAGUGUUUCGGCUUGGGGGCCAGCACACGGGGGGCCGAGUGUCGGGAGUACCGGAGCUUUUGUUGCUAUCGCCCUAGCUUUCGUUAUUCUUGCAUGGUUUGUUGCUCCACACGUUGGCAAGAGAGCGGCUGCGAUCCUUCUUCACAUGCUUCUGGGAGGCCUUUGCUCGUUGACGAUAAUAAUCUCACUGAGAUUUGUAAGUAAACUAGGAUGCUUAACACAUAUGGUCUUCCCGAGAAUCCAGUUCGGGUCGAUGCGGUACUGGGGGAUCCUGUUCGUGUCCUGGUUCCUCGUGUUUGGAGUGUGGGCCUCGCGAACCCGCACCAUCCGCCGCAAUUCAUGAUUACAUCGAGUGUGUCCUUAGUCAGCCGCUGUGAGGAUUUAGGACCGCGGCGUCGCAAGGGUAGCGUCCACGACAGCGUUAGCAUUGGAUCUUUCUUCACCAACAGAAGAAGUGAAUGAAGCUGGGCUUGUUCCAAGUUGUAAGAGUAUUACUGCUGCUCCUUUCUAUGGUCUGCUGCUCUGAUGUUGCCGCUGCCCUUGCGUGCAAACCGCUCUUGUGUUGUGGCACCACUCUUGCUUUGCUUACCAAGGUAGAGGAGGAAGAGCGUGGCGGCGGUCUUGGCGAGGCUGGCCACGCAGAAGUUCUCCACGUAGCAGAAGAUGUCCCACAUUGCUGCCAUGCCAUGGCCGGUGAGGAGAGGUUGGCGGUCAGCAGAAGAAGGGAAACUGAAUGAAUGAAUGAAUGAAUGUACAAGUAGGUAAUGACCUGCAUGCCUUGCCGGAGAGGAAGUCGAUGGGCUUGCCGGAGAGGAGGUCGGCGCCCUCACCGACGCCACAGCAAGGAGCAGCAGCAAUGAGACUGCCAUGGAGGACUUGCUCGCGCUCGCCCGCCGGCGCGGCCUCCUCUAGCCACCCACCAGGCAGGAGCCACCCAGCAGCCAGGAGCAGCAAUGAGGAUGGCUGCCGCCAGGUCCGUCAGUCAGGUACACAAGACAAGAAUGAACACCUGCUCUGCUGGUGCUUGGCCAUGGCAUUCAGUCAUGCCUAGGAAGAGAAAGAUCUUAAUGAAUUGUAGAUCUUUCAACAACAACAACUUGAUUGGAUUGGAUUAGAUUAGAUUACAGCAACUCAGAUGCUCUCUUGUCUUCCAUGUCUCUUUUCUUCCUAAAAUCCAGUGCCUGGCUGAUGCUCCAUGGAAUGUACUCUCUCUGUCCUCCGUCGACUUAUUAACUGAAAGAAAAGAAAGAGAUGGAACAGAGGAGAUUUUUCAGGCAACCAAUGCCAAUUUUCAUUC